rnacentral:rRNA from 1 species
CGCCUAACACAUGCAAGUCGCACGAGAAAGGCUCCUUCGGGGGCCGAGUACAGUGGCGCACGGGUGAGUAACACGUGGAUACCUGCCCUCAAGUGGGGAAUAACUUUGGGAAACCGGGGCUAAUACCGCAUACGUUCGAGAGAAGAAAGCAGCAAUGCGCUUGAGGAGGGGUCCGCGGCUGAUUAGCUAGUUGGUGGGGUAAAAGCCUACCAAGGCGAAGAUCAGUAGCCGGCCUGAGAGGGCACACGGCCACACUGGCACUGAGACACGGGCCAGACUCCUACGGGAGGCAGCAGUGGGGAAUCUUGCACAAUGGAGGAAACUCUGAUGCAGCGACGCCGCGUGAGCGAAGAAGCCUUUCGGGGUGUAAAGCUC